AAGGAUCAUUGCUGAUGCCGGCGGCGUGCUUUGAAGGCCCUCACGGGCUGACUUGGCCGCCGCUUCAAUCAUCUGCCCCUUUGUGAACCUGGCACCGAGGCGAGCGUGAGCUUUAGGGGCCCACGCAUACCAAAUCGCCUCUCUGCCCAACCAAACCUGUCUUUUAUUGCCUGUCUCCCCAGACUGAAGCAAAAAAAACAAAACAUAUCUUACAACUUUUAACAAUGGAUAUCUUGGCUCGC
rnacentral:misc_RNA from 1 species